UCCUACGGUGGGCAGCAGUAGGGAAUUUUCGUCAAUGGGCGCAAGCCUGAACGAGCAAUGCCGCGUGAACGAGGAAGGUCUUCGGAUCGUAAAGUUCUGUUGAAGGGGAAAAAGAGCGGAGAGAGGAAAUGGUCUCCGAUUGAUAUUACCCUUCGAGGAAGUCACGGCUAACUACGUGCCAGCAGCCGCGGUAAUACGUAGGUGGCGAGCGUUAUCCGGAAUGAUUGGGCGUAAAGGGUGCGUAGGCGGCCUGCUAAGUCUGGAGUGAAAGGUACCGGCUCAACCGGUACAGGCUCUGGAAACUG
rnacentral:rRNA from 1 species